rnacentral:rRNA from 1 species
UCACAUCCUGGGGCUGGAGAAGGUCCCAAGGGUCCGGCUGUUCGCCGGUUAAAGUGGUACGCGAGCUGGGUUCAGAACGUCGCGAGACAGUUCGGUCCUUAUCCACUGUGGGCGCAGGAGAUUUGAGGGGUUCAGACCUUAGUACGAGAGGACCGGGUCUGACGAACCGCUGGUGUUCCAGUUGUUCUGUCAAGAGCAGUGCUGGGUAGCUAUGUUCGGAAAGGAUAAGCGCUGAAAGCAUCUAAGCGCCAAGCCUAUCCCAAGAUGAGAUCUCCCUGAAGGGUCGUGGUAGACCACCACGUUGAUAGGUCUCCGGUGCAAGUGCAGCAAUGUAUUCAGCUGAGAGAUACUAAUAACCCGUUCGGCUUGAUCAUUUA